CUCAUCCCUCCCUCUGCCGCUCGCCGCAGUGCUCCCGGCUCGGGUUGUCCCGGUGCGGUGCUGCCGCUCCUUCCUCCUCCUCCUCCUCCUCCUCCUCCUCCUCCUCCUCCUCCUCCUCUCGCGUCCCCCCGCCAUGCCCCCCCCGCUGCCCCCCACCGAGCUGUACGCCUCGGAGCGGGUGGUCGUGCUGCUGUCCUGCGUCCUGUCCUUCCUGGGCUCCAGCCUCCUCGUGGGCACCCAUGCGCUGUGGCCCGAGCUGCGGACGCGGCCCCGACAGCUCCUGCUCUACCUGUCGCUGGCGGAUCUCCUCUCGGCUCUCUCGUACUUCUAUGGGGUGCUGCGGGACUUCGACGGGACCUCGUGGGACUGCGUGCUCCAGGGUGCCCUGUCCACCUUCUCCAACACCAGCUCCUUCUUCUGGACCAUGGCCAUUGCUGUCUACCUCUACAUCACCAUUGUGAGGGGCUCGCCCACCGGCACAAGCUUGCUCUGCUGCUUUCAUGUCAUGAGCUGGGGUAUCCCCCUUGGCAUUACAGUGGCCGCUGUUGCUCUGAAGAAGAUUGGCUAUGACGCCUCCAACGUUUCUGUGGGCUGGUGCUGGGUCAACUUGGAUGCAGAGGAUCGGGUCCUGUGGAUGUUGCUAACGGGGAAAGUGUGGGAGAUAUUGGCCUAUGUGACUCUGCCAGUGCUCUACCUCCUCAUCAAGAAGCACAUUAACAGAGCGCACGCAGCUCUCUCAGAGUAUCGCCCCAUUCUCUCAAGAGCACCUGCAUUUCAGCCCCAGACUUCCAUAGCAGAUAAGAAGUUGAUUCUCAUCCCUGUCAUCUUUAUCAUCCUCCGCAUCUGGAGCACUGUGCGCUUCAUUCUGACCCUCUGUAACUCCCCUGCAGUGCAGAAUUCAGUCCUGGUUGUCCUGCAUGGAAUUGGAAACACAUUCCAAGGGGGUGCCAACUGCAUCAUGUUUGUCCUCUGCACACGGGUGGUCCGGACUCGGCUCUUCUCCUACAUUUGCUGCUGCCACUCUGAUGAGAUGGAUUGGCCUUUGAGGCGAUCAAACAGCAGCUGGCAGCACCCAGAGCCCCCCAAGAACAAGGAUGUGCCAGGCCCUGAGAGGACCAAACCUCUGCUCUCCAGCACCUGAGCCCGGGCUGCCUGCAUCUCGGUGCUGGUUCUUCUUCCUUGGUAAAAACCCAGUGUGCAGGAUCGUCCCAGAGUCCCACAGAGGGAGCUCAAGCCUGGGGAGAAGCACGGCUGGAGUGGCAGAGCAAUGGGAAGAGGUCCUGCUCCUCCUGGGCAUUGGAUACCAGCUGCUUUGGUCUUGAACUUGGCUCAGGGUCCCCUGGAAGAUGCUGUUUGGCUCCAACCUCCUGGUUCUAUUCCCUCCUCCACCAUAAAUCUUACAUUUGUUUGAGGUUUUGCUUUUCUGUCUGACACAGCAAAUGUGCUGUGAGCUGUGGGGUGAACAAUGGCACGGUGACAGGAAAACCGAGUAGCUGCUGAAUAGGACUGUUCUGGCCAUGGAUUUCAGUCCUAAUCCAUGAGGUCUUCCAGGGAGCUCCAGCCUGGCUCCUGUUGACUGUGGACAACAGCAUGCAAACGUGUUUGUGCUGUGGUGGUGAUGGGUAGCUCCUCUCAAUGGUUUGUUCCUCCUGCUUGGUUAACAGGGGUUGUCAUCCUCAGGGUUUAUGGUGUCAGCAUGGUUACUGCCUCCAGAGGAGAUCUGAGCUCUGCAGCUCCCCUUGAUGCUCAGGGAUAUGUGUGCGUGUACACCCCAGCCUCCAGCAAGGGCAGCCGUCACCAGUGGCUGGAUGGUGCCUAGUGCUUGUGCUUCAGUCUGCUCUUGCUUUGGGAGUGAUGUAUUGGAGCUGGGGAGGGAUGGGGAUCUGUUUGCUGUUUGGAGAUAGCGUUUGACCUUAUUUACAACUCCUCACUGGCUUGAAUUUUAAGGAUUUUCUCCAACUUCUACAAAAUAAAGUUGUAUUUCCUUACCAA